rnacentral:ncRNA from 1 species
UUGAUACUUUGUGGGUGCUUCGCCGGAUUUUUUAAUCCGCAUAAGGCUGAGAGAAGGAUUGAAUCCUUUAACCAUUUGAACCUGAUAUGGAUAAUACCGUCAGGGAAUAUAAAAAUUGUACUU